GAGCAGCACCUGAUCAUGUGUCAGCGGCAAUGCCCGGGACCGGCCAGGGAGGGCUACUGGGGCCCAGCACCACCGGGGAAAGAGGCUUUGAAGUGGCUGUACUGGAGGAAGAGGCUGCUGGGUAAAGCAUGAGGCAUCUUUGCUGGAAAAGGAGCUCAGAACUAAGGUGUCUCGGAGAACCCGGAGCCAGUGCCCUAUCAGAACCAGCCGCCCAGGAGAGACAGCCUCAAUUCCCCCCCAUGUCCCGUGGAUAAAUCCAGAUCACCCGGGAAUUAUCAGUGUUAUUAGUUAGCUCUGGGAGCACAGGAGCCUGGGCUGGAUUAUGGAGCUUUGGUUAAUUAAUGUUAGGCUAAUUCAGGUUGUUCUGUUAGGGAGGGGGUGACCAGCCCUAGAUGGGGAGAGGGCCCUCCGCUCCCCACCCUGUAGAAUUGGGCUGCCACGGGGGAUCAGAGACGUAGGGCGGGUGCUGGGCAGAAUGGACUGCUUAUAACAAUACUUUACCCCUCUCAUCCUAGGAUCUCAAAGUGCUUUACAAAUGCUUGUAAAUUAGGCCUCUCAACGAAUCUGUCAGAAAGCUGAGUAAUUUCCCCAUUUUACAGAUGGGGAAACUGAGGCACAGACAGGGAAGGAACUUGCAACAGUCACAUAGUGAGUCAAUAGCAGAACUAGUAAGAGAACCCAGGGAUCCUACUGCCCACUCCCUUGCUCUAACCACUAGACCACACUCCCCUUCCAGAGCUGGAAGAGAACCCAAGAGUCCUGACUUCCAACCACCAUGUAAUACCGCUUCCCUAGCUACUCUACGUGACACCUUUCACAACUAAACACAGCUGUUUCCUCAA